CGUUCCCGGGCCUUGUACACACCGCCCGUCACACCACGAAAGUUGGUAACACCCGAAGCCGGUGGCCUAACCGCAAAGAAGGAGCCGUCGAAGGUGGGAUCAGCGAUUGGGGUG
rnacentral:rRNA from 1 species